rnacentral:rRNA from 1 species
GACAGAGGGUGCAAACGUUGUUCGGAAUUACUGGGCGUAAAGGGCUCGUAGGCGGCCAACUAAGUCAGACGUGAAAUCCCUCGGCUUAACCGGGGAACUGCAUCUGAUACUGGAUGGCUUGAGAUUGGGAGAGGGAUGCGGAAUUCCAGGUGUAGCGGUGAAAUGCGUAGAUAUCUGGAGGAACACCGGUGGCGAAGGCGGCAUCCUGGACCAACACUGACGCUGAGGAGCGAAAGCCAGGGGAGCAAACGGG